AGAGUUUGAUCAUGGCUCAGAACGAACGCUGGCGGCGUGGAUAAGACAUGCAAGUCGAACGCUGAUUAGAGGGUAGCAAUAUUCUCUAGUCGGAGUGGCGCAAGGGUGCGUAACACGUGGGUAAUCUGCCGUGAAGUUUGGGAUAACUCGCUGAAAGGCGAGCUAAUACCGGAUGUGACUGUUAGGGGGCAUCUCCUGACAUUCAAAGCUGGGGACCGAAAGGCCUGGCCCUUCACGAUGAGCCCGCGGCCUAUCAGCUAGUUGGUGAGGUAACGGCCCACCAAGGCUAAGACGGGUAGCUGGUCUGAGAGGACGACCAGCCACACUGGAACUGAGACACGGUCCAGACACCUACGGGUGGCAGCAGUCGAGAAUUUUUCACAAUGGGCGCAAGCCUGAUGGAGCGACGCCGCGUGGGGGAUGAAGGGUUUCGAUCCGUAAACCCCUGUCAUUUGCGAACAAUGGUUGAGCAAUAACGCUGUUCAACUUGAUAGUAGCGGAAGAGGAAGGGACGGCUAACUCUGUGCCAGCAGCCGCGGUAAUAC
rnacentral:rRNA from 1 species